rnacentral:rRNA from 1 species
CCCUGGUCCGUGAAUCCGGAUCGGGGACAGUGCAUGGUAGGCAGUUUGACUGGGGCGGUCUCCUCCCAAAGUGUAACGGAGGAGUACGAAGGUACGCUAGGUACGGUCGGAAAUCGUGCUGAUAGUGCAAUGGCAUAAGCGUGCUUAACUGCGAGACCGACAAGUCGAGCAGGUGCGAAAGCAGGUCAUAGUGAUCCGGUGGUUCUGUAUGGAAGGGCCAUCGCUCAACGGAUAAAAGGUACUCUGGGGAUAACAGGCUGAUACCGCCCAAGAGUUCAUAUCGACGGCGGUGUUUGGCAC